GCCUCCAGAGAUAGACAUGCAUGACUCAAGCCAGCUCCCUUGAUUAAAAGUCCAGUGCUUUUUGCAUCACACUGGAAUGUGGAGCCCCCAAACACUUACACCUGCAGCAUGUAUUACCAAGAGGCAAAUGUCACUUUUUAAAGCAAAACAUCCUUGCCUACUACGGCAUGGCUUUCAUUAUAAAUUCCACAUCAGCCAGCAGCAAUGCUGACCUUUUGCUGCUGCUCAGAGAGAGGCACUGCCCCAGUUUAUCCUCUAACUCAGCCCAAUCUCUGUGUUCUGUCCUUAAUAGCUGUUAGAAAUACCCCUGUCUUUUCACUUUCAAGCUACCACCUCUGGGGUAGCACUCGUCCUCACCUCUCCUCGACUGGUUGAUGACAGAGCUUUUUGCCCAACUGGUGAUACCACUGUGACAUAUGUUCUUCUCUGCAAGAGCACCCUUGUCUUCAAGCAUGCCAAGAUUUUCACCAGAAUCAAGAGACCUAGAUUUAACAGCUCAUUCUUCUUAAACUGACCAUUUAAAUUUUGAGUUCCAAAUGUUCUCAUCUAUAAAAAGGGAUAUGCAGGGAUAUUACAAGAAGUUAAGGUAUGCGAAAGUGCUUAAUAAAAUGUGAAAUGAUUUUCAAAUUUAAGGUAGUUUUCUAUCUCAUCAUUGCUCCGCUUAUGCAUUUCCAUUAACUUUUAUUCUGGAGUCGACUUCCUCAAAGCCACAUGAGUUGACCAGCUUUGCUUUGGAAGGCCAAGUCUCACGGGGAUGUCCACUCAUUCAUCGUGAUGGCACCAGUGACGACUCUCGAACUUAGGAGCAGAAAAAGAAGGAAUGGCCAUGUGACUUAUGUCCAUGGAAAACCUGUUCUUGAGCGUUUUUCCAGACUGUGAUUGGCUGUGGAUAACAAACUGCGGAAUGCGAAACUGUUGAUAAGGGUGGACUACUGUAACUCUGGACAAUUUCCUCAACUCUGCCCAAUAUCAAAGGAAGGCUCUUCAGGCUCCAAGCAUUGUCAGUGAUGUGCUACAAAGAGGAACAACUAAGCUGACACAGAUAUGAAGGCAGCAAUGACACUGAACUGCCAGAAUAGUGAUCCUCAAAGGUGGACAGGUGUCACACCUGAAUCCCUGGGGGUCAGGACCAAUCAACUUCCCCGCCUACCCCAACCGUGGCCACUCUUUCUAGUCAUAGUUUAUCUUAUGCCUCAGGGGCAGUAAUGGGGUUAAGAAAUGGUAGAAAGUAUGUACCCAAAUUCUCAAUCACAUUUGAUUGUUCACUAGAACUUUUUCUAAGAAGACUAAAUGGUGAGAACGGGGGGAUGGCCCUCCAGGAAAAUUCAGGUAGGUGUCAUAAUAUUUAAUGAAAGAGGCAUUUCCUUUUUUAAUCCUUUGUAGGGUCAGAAAAGAAAAAAAUUCAAGAUAUGCAAAGGAAGCCAGAUCAAAAUCCCCUUGGCCAUGGAUACUGGUGCCCUACAUCAGCACCCUUCAAGAGUGUGGAUGAGGCUGAGUAGGUGGGAACCUGCAUCCCUUGAAAGAAGCAGGCAAGGACAGGGUAGUGACAAGUGCUGGUCACUUGUGAGGGCUGCCUCCCCAUCCAGUUCCCUCUGCAGCCAGGAGCAGGAGUUGUUUCUGGCUCAAGCCAGCCCCCAUGGCCGCCAUUCCCUUAUAUGACCCUGCUUCGCAGGGUAACGUACCAGACAGUUUCACGCUCGUUAUCCUUGCAACGGAUUACUCGGUGAGGAGCAUCAGAGAACUGAAAAGACAGACUGACUUCGACUUGAAUCCUGGCUCUUCCUCUUACUAGUUUCAUGGCCUUGGAUGGAAAAAUGAGUUAUUCCACUGAAGCCAGGAAAAUCCAUGCUGGCACCCUAGCAGUCCAUCAGAAAGUCGUUAUUUCUCCACUGUCAGAGAUCCUGUCCUGAAUAUGCAGCCUAGCACAGCAUGUUAUGGAGCUGCCUCUGGGAUCAAGGGAAAGGAGAACUCAGUACCCUGAGGUGCACAAAAGGCACUGCACAAGAAGGCCCACAUUGACGUGCAGAAGGAAGUGAAGAGGAAGGAGUGAUACAUUCUGAAAUGGUUGAAGAGCCGAAAAAAGGCAAAGCAUUGAGGAAAGUGAGAACUGAGGAAAAGGGCACUGGAUUUGAUGACUCACUACUCUCCUUUAGUGAACUUUAAUAGAAGAGUUUCAGUAGAGUAAUAGAAACCAAAAUUGCAACCAGUUCAACGAGUAGGAGGCAAAGAAAUGCCAGUGAACAUAGAUUAUGCUUGAAAUGAAUGCAAGAGAUGAGACAGCUGACUUCAGAAAGCAGCGGAUUCAACAGAAGAUUGUUUAAUUGGCUGACAAUUUUUAUGAUAAGAAAGACCAGAAAAGGUCUAUAGGCUAAUGGGGGAGAGGAUAGUGGGAAAAGAUUGUAGAGGUUUGGGAGGUUUUUGUCCUCAGAUAGGAGGAAAGAGAGAAGGUACAUGGCACCUAAUACAUACUCAAUACGUAUUUGUUGAAUUAAAAAGGAUCUAGUUUGGAGGAUGCUAACUCUUAUGGGGAGUAAUAGUAUAAUAAUUAAGUCAAAUCUUAGCAAGAGGUGGUUCCUGGAAGAACUCAGGUCUCAUUUGAAGGGAUCCCAAGAUCCCUUGAGCCAGGCACUUCUCCCCAUGCAGGAAUAUAGAGCCAUUGAUACCAGAGAUUCUGAUGGCAAAAAGCUGGAUUUUUGUGGGAGAUUUCUUUAUUUUUAAACUUUGACAACUGUUUUAAACAACGUUAAUCCAACAAAAUAGCCAAUAUUCAGUCAAUUGGCAACCACUUGGUAACUUGUAUUUUAGCACAUAUUUCUCUAGAUCAUACUUGCUUGAAUGGCAUUUAACAGUUUUAUUGAUAUAUAAUUUACAAAUACAAUUCACCCAUUUAAAGUGUACAAUUCAACUGCUUUUAGAAAUUUCCAGAUAUGUGUAACCAUCACCACAGAGCAUUUAAAAAAUUUUCAUCACCUCAAAAAGAAACCUGGGGGUUCUUUAGCUAUCACUCCCCUAUUUCCUCACUCCCCCAACCCCAAGCAACCACUAACCUACGUUCUCUAUACAUUUGCUUAUUCUGUAUUUUAUUUGAAUGAAAUUGUGUAAAAUGUAGUCUUCUGUGACUGGCAUAUUUCACUUAGGGGAUAGGUUUUUUUUUGUUUUUGUUUUCAAGUAAAGAAGUGAGAAUGUGAAAAAUUUGGAGGGAUUUUAAUCUCAGUGAAAGGGAAGGCCA
rnacentral:lncRNA from 1 species